AUUUUGUAAAGUUCAUUCUAGAAAACGUAUUUCAUAACAUGUCAAAAUUCUCAGAGAAUGGUAUGCUUUGAAGCUUCGACACGCCUCUUAAAUGGUGUGUCCCUGAAGUCCCUUGAAUGGUCCUACGGCAAGAGGCUUAAUUGAUGUUGCGAUUAGGUUGGCAGCAAAAGAAAGGUUUCAUUUUGAGCCUUUUCUCUCGUAGUGUAGCACUCCAAUCAGGUAAUUUUCGUCCAUUCGUAAAUGCAAGAUUUGCAGCAAUGCGUAAAACUGUCGAUGGGGGUUUCGAAGUCUAAAGAAAUUGUCCAUGGGAGUAUUACAUGGUUUGGUUGUUAAUAGUCCUGCUCUUAAAGUAAGUCUGUGAUAAAUAGUUUGUAAACAGAAUUUAUAUUCUGUAAUUGUUGGCUAAUUCUGCAGUAGGAUGAAAUUGAGCUGUAUAAAGACAAUUUUGCAGAUUACAGAUUAUAUUCUGUAAUCUGUAAUGCUUAUUACAUCUGCUUUGCAUAUUUAAAUUUUGGCUUAUGUUUUAUGCUUCUUACAGCUUAUGGGGCUUUUUCCUGGUGGCAUUGAGAUUGCCUUUGAAGCAAAUAAGAAAAUCUUUCAUCUCGAAUUCAGAGUCAUUGUCUGAUUUAAUGCACUUGAUCUUAGCAUUGAACUGAAUCUCUACUAAUCAGCAGAAAGACUCUAUCAAGUUAGCAACUUCUGAUUUGUGUUUCAUGCAAAGAGUCCACAUAUGCUUUUAUCGGACGUUUACAAGCUUUUUUGUUGUUGAUGAAAACCAACAUCUAGAACUGUAAGAAAAUAUCUGAAGUCAAAAAUAGAAGGGCAUCCAUGCGGACAAGGUCAAAUAAUUGGUUUGAUUUCAUGGAAGCUGAAACUGAGUAUAGCAGAAACAAUUUGUUGCAUCUGAAUCCGGAAUUCCAGUUUUAUUUCUAGAGCAAUUGGAAAUAGCACAACUUGAUGCAUCAUUUUUCUGUCGACAAGAGGAGCUGGGUGUUAGCUGAUUGACAGCUUAUGACCUUUGCAUACUUUUUAGCAAGGGAAGAGUCAGUGUGUGCAGCUCAAGUCUAAACCCAGAUGUGUUACAUGGUCUUGGUUUUGAUCAUCAUCUCCUUCCUUGUGAUGCUAAACUUUGACCAUCAUCAAUUUCUUCCUAAUCUACUGCACAAUUGACAUUGGUCUUCUCUUAAUCAAGAAACUAUAGUUUUGUUGUAAAAGCAUGUUGUAAUAACUGUCAAUUGUGUGACCAACUAUGUUACGAAAGGAACUAAUUUUGGCUUUUGAAUACUUCCAUCAAGAAACUCCAUUCAGUUCUUUGAUCUCAAAUAAGGUUGAGUAAUUCAAGUUGCAA
rnacentral:sRNA from 1 species